GUUAGGAAUAUUGGACAAUGGGCGCAAGCCUGAUCCAGCCAUGCCGCGUGAACGAUGAAGGCCUUCGGGUUGUAAAGUUCUUUAGCCGAUGAUUAUAAUGACUGUAGUCGGAAAAUAAGCCCCGGCUAACUUCGUGCCAGCAGCCGCGGUAAUACGAAGGGGGCGAGCGUUAUUCGGAAUCACUGGGCGUAAAGCGUGCGUAGGCGGCUUUGCAAGUUGGGAGUGAAAGCCCAGGGCUCAACCCUGGAAUUGCUCUCAAAACUGCAAGGCUCGAAUUCGGGAGAGGAUAGCGGAAUUGUCAGUGUAGCAGUGAAAUGCGUAGAUAUUGACAGGAACACCAGUGGCGUAAGCGGCUAUCUGGACCGAUAUUGACGCUGAGGCACGAAAGCGUGGGGAUCAAACAGGAUUAGAAACCCGUGUAGUCC
rnacentral:rRNA from 1 species